rnacentral:rRNA from 1 species
CACGUAGGGUGCGAGCGUUGUCCGGAAUUAUUGGGCGUAAAGGGCUCGUAGGCGGUUUGUCGCGUCGGGAGUGAAAACCUUGGGCUUAACUCAGGGCUUGCUUUCGAUACGGGCAGACUAGAGGUAUGCAGGGGAGAACGGAAUUCCUGGUGUAGCGGUGAAAUGCGCAGAUAUCAGGAGGAACACCGGUGGCGAAGGCGGUUCUCUGGGCAUGAUCUGACGCUGAGGUGCGAAAGCGUGGGGAGCAAACAGG